GGGAUUCGAUGUCGAGAUAAGUUCCCCCUCCUGGCACCAUCUGCAUAUCUUUCCCCACUUUCUUCUCCUCUCGCCCCGGAUACGAACCCUACCUUUUGAUUCCCCAUCUCCCUUCCUCCUCCUGUUUUCCCGUCGCAAACCUCACACUCCUCUUUGUGCUGCUUUGAAUCUGCCGUGCCAGGACCUGAUCCAUCAGUUCUUGCUCUUCCGGUGCAAGUGUAGAGGCGGCCAUGGAUUCGGUGACCUAGGCCUAGGAACGCCCAUUGCAGGAAGUGAGCUUUCUUGAAUUACAUCAGCAGGGUCUCAGGGCGAGUUUUACCCUUCUCUAGGCCUUUUCGAUUGUUUAUGUUCACUGCAUGUUGUGCCUUGCAUCAGUAGAAAGACAUAGUGAUCACAUCUUGUGCUUUUUCUUAUGCCUGCAGCAGCCUUCUUUGUUCUGA